rnacentral:rRNA from 1 species
CAGUAGUCACGUAGUUUGAUCAUGGCUCAAGAACGAACGCUGGCGGCAUGCCUAACACAUGCAAGUCGAACGAGACCUUCGGGUCUAGUGGCGCACGGGUGCGUAACACGUGGGAAUUUGCCUCGGGGUAUGGAAUAACUCAGGGAAACUUGAGCUAAUACCAUAUAAUGUCUUCGGACCAAAGAUUUAUCGCCCUGAGAUAAGCCCGCGUAGGAUUAGCUAGUUGGUGAGGUAAAGGCCUACCAAGGCGACGAUCCAUAGCUGGUCUGAGAGGAUGAUCAGCCACACUGGGACUGAGACACGGCCCAGACCCCUACGGGAGGCAGCAGUGGGGAAUAUUGGACAAUGGGCGAAAGCCUGAUCCAGCAAUGCCGCGUGAGUGAUGAAGGCCUUAGGGUUGUAAAGCUCUUUUACCCGAGAUGAUAAUGACAGUAUCGGGAGAAUAAGCUCCGGCUAACUCCGUG